AAAUGAACACUGAGCCAGAAGAGGGAGAUGAUGAAUUAGCUGAAGAGGAACCUGUUGGACCUGUCAAGAGAAUUAGGCCCAAACGAAACAAGCAGAAACCCAAGAGGCUGAAUGGAUAUCAGCUGUACUAAAAUGAUAAGAUCAGACCUUCUAGAAUGAUGUUUAGAAUAUUCCUUUUGUAUCAAUGUUUGUUGCUGACUCACUCUAGUUUGUUAGAAUGCAUGAGUCACCAAUCAUUUAGCUACACUAGCGUGCCUUUAUAAGGUUGAAGUAUUGAAUAAAGAGGUAUCAAAGAAAUUAAUGAAGAAAGUUCUCUGUUUUUAUUUGUUAGCUAUAGUACAUUUAUCCUUUUCAAUACCUUAUCCUUUCAUUGGUGCUUUCAUUGAUGUCUUCUCCUCCCACUUCCGAUGAACUCCUCCACCGUAUUCUCCUUGACCUUUCCUCCCUCACCACUGAGGUCAAUCAGAUCCGCACUUGAAUGGGUCCUCCGGGAUUCCAAUUAGCAGAUCCACCACCACAACCCUUGUUUUCUCCAGCUUCCAUUAAACUUGAAAUUCCCACCUUUGACGGCUCCGACCCCCUUGGUUGGAUCUUCAAGAUUAACCAAUUCUUUGAGUUUCAUCAGACGCCGGAAGAUCAGCGCCUCCGUAUGGCGUCGUUCUACAUGCACGGUGAGGCCCUUACGUGGUAUCAGUGGAUGCACUCAAAUGCUCAACUCCUAUCUUGGAAUCACUUCCUCCACGCUCUGGAAAUCCGGUUCGCACCGUCUCACUUCGACGACCCCAAAGGCGCUCUGUUCAAGCUGUGUCAAACUUCCUCUGUCAAGGACUAUCAAACGGAGUUUGAAAGGUUAGCCAACCGCAUCACUGGUUUAUCUCAACAGUGUUAUUUAAGCUGCUUCAUCUCCGGACUCAAACCGGAGCUUCGCCGUGAGGUUCAGGCGUUUCAACCCACUUCAUUACCACACGCCAUCAGUCUCGCAAAGCUGCAGGAGGAUAAGGUAAACGACCGCUUCCCUAAAACUCUUCCUACUCCUAAUACUCCCACCGCCGGACCCUCUCGUUCUCCGAUUCGGCCAGCCUUGACAUCAACACCGCUCAAACCACCCACAAAUCGACCCACCACUAUCAAACGCCUUACCCCUGAUGAAUUACAGGCUCGCCGUGAUCAAGGGUUAUGUUACAACUGUGAUGAACGUUUUCACGUUGGUCACCGUUGCAAACGACUCUUUCAUCUGUUGAUUGCAGCACCCGACCCGGAACCCGACAUACCAGAUGAUGAAACCCUAACCCAACUUCUUAUGGCUUCACCCGCUCCACUACAACCCGACCCACCCACCACCCCAAACACAGAUAAAGCCCAAAUUAGUCUCCACGCUCUCAUGGGCCACCCCAUCCCACAAACCCUCCGCGUCCAUGGCUCUAUUAACAAACAUCCUGUAUCUAUCCUUAUUGACAGUGGUUCUACCCAUAACUUCAUCCAGGAUCGAAUUGCUAAACAAAUAGGCCUUACAACACAACAAGCUCCAGGGUUCCAGGUUCUGGUAGGUAAUGGUGAAGAAUUAGCUUGCACAUUACUCUGUCCUCAAGUUAAUUUACACAUGGGUUCUUACCAAACAAUGGUGGAUAUGUUUAUGCUACCUCUCAGCGACGCCGAAUUGGUUCUUGGAGUGCAAUGGCUCCAAACUCUGGGUCCCAUUCUCACGGAUUUCACUCGCCUAACCAUGCGAUUCAUGAAGGAUGAUGAGGUGGUUCAAUUAACUGGGGUUCCCAGAAGAAGUGCAGAUGAAGCUUCACUACAUCAACUCAGGCGUCUCGCCUCCACCAACGCCAUUGACACCUUACUCCGCUUCCACUUCAAUGGUCCAUCCCCUGAUGAAGCAAUUCCUGAACAGAUUCCGCCUGAAAUUGUGCCAAUCCUCCAGCAGUUCCGGUCCAUUUUUGAGGAACCAGAAACCCUCCCACCUUCGCGCACAAUUGACCAUCGAAUCCCCUUGAAGGAAGGAGCAGACCCAGUUAAUGUCAGGCCGUACCGCUACCCUCACUUCCAGAAGCAAGAGAUAGAAGCACAGAUAACAUCUAUGCUUCAACAAGGUAUUAUUCAGAACAGUUGUAGUGCUUUUUCUUCUCCAGUCCUCUUGGUCAGAAAGAAAGAUGGAACGUGGCGGUUCUGCGUGGAUUACAGGGCUCUCAACGCCAUCACAGUCAAGGAUAGAUUCCCUAUUCCAGCAAUCGACGAGCUACUGGAUGAGCUUUAUGGCACUGCUUACUUCUCCAAACUGGAUCUACGUUCUGGUUAUCACCAAAUACGUAUGAAUCCAGACGAUGUUUCCAAAACGGCGUUCCGGACACACCUCGGACACUACGAAUUCUUGGUGAUGCCGUUUGGGCUGAGUAACGCUCCAUCAACAUUUCAAUCUAGCAUGAAUGAUAUCUUCCACCCUUAUCUACGGAAAUUCGUCAUUGUUUUUUUUGACGACAUACUGGUCUACAGCAAAUCAAUCACUGAACAUGUACAACAUCUGGAACUUGUGUUUAAUUUACUGAUGGAAAACCAUUUGUUUUUAAAAGAAUCAAAGUGUUCUUUUGGUCAGACCUCUAUUGCAUAUCUAGGUCAUAUAGUAUCAGCUGAGGGAGUAGGACCGGAUCCGGAAAAAAUCAACGCCAUGCUCCAAUGGCCUCAACCUGUGAAUGUGAAGCAACUACGGGGAUUCUUAGGACUGACAGGGUUUUAUCGCAAAUUUGUUCAGAACUACGCCAUGGUGGCUCAACCUCUCACUGAAUUGCUUAAAAAGGAUGCUUUUGUAUGGGAUUCCAACGCCCAACAGGCGUUUGAACAGCUGAAACUAGCCAUGACACAAGCUCCGGUGCUGGCCAUGCCUAACUUUAAUGAAGAAUUCGUGAUUGAAACCGACGCUUCUGGCAUAGGCAUGGGGGCGGUUUUGACACAGAACCACCAUCCUAUAUGCUUCUUCAGCAAAAAGUUUUGUAACAAAUUGCUGAAUUCCUCCACUUAUGUCCGAGAACUAUGUGCCAUUACGUCAGCUGUAAAGAAGUGGAGGACUUAUUUAUUGGGCAGGAAAUUCGUAGUACUCACUGAUCAACGCAGCUUGAGAGAGUUGAUGACUCAAGUAAUCCAAACGCCAGAGCAACAAUACUAUCUGGCAAAACUGCUGGGGUAUUUCUAUGAGAUUCGUUAUAAACCAGGAGCUCAGAACAGGGUGGCAGAUGCUCUAUCUCGUAUUCAUGACACUUUCCCCAUGCUCAUGGCUCUAACUGUUCCACAUUGGGAAUUCUUGGAGAAGCUGCGUGAGACUUAUACCACAAAUAUCACAGCUAAGGAACAAUUACAUAAGGUAAUGGAAAACCCUGAAGCGUUUCCCUCGUUUAAAGUAUUUCAAGGGCUGCUGUUUUACAAAGGAAAACUCUAUAUUCCUCCUACAUCCCUGUGUAAGGAAGCAAUCCUACAGGAGUUUCACAGCACACCAUUGGGUGGUCAUAGUGGAAUUCAGAAGACAUAUGGCCGCCUUAAGGAGAACGUUUUUUGGGAAGGUAUGAAAAACGAUGUAACACUGUUUGUAAAUGCGUGCUUAACCUGUCAACACACAAAAACACCUGCUCACCUACCUUAUGGGUUGCUGCAACCGUUACUAGUGCCAGACGGCGUUUGGCAGGACAUCUCAUUAGAUUUCAUCACUGGGCUCCCUUCUUUCCAAAAUUUCACAGUCAUACUGGUGGUAGUAGAUAGACUAUCUAAAGCGGCGCAUUUUGGAAUGUUGGCCAUAGGAUUCACAGCAGUCAAGGUAGCAGAUUUAUUUGCAAGAAUGAUUUGUCGCUUGCACGGGAUGCCCAAGAGCAUCGUUUCAGACAGAGACCCCAUUUUCUUAAGUCGUUUUUGGCAGGAGUUGUUCAGAUUGAGCGGUACCAAGCUGAGAAUGUCAUCUGCCUACCACCCACAAAGUGACGGGCAAACUGAGGUAGUAAACAAAGUAUUACAACAGUAUUUACGAUGCUUUGUUCAUACACAGCCUAAGAAAUGGGGUCGUUACUUACACUGGGCGAAAUGGCAUUACAACACAACCAUACACUCCAGCACCGGAAAAACACCCUUUGAAGUGGUUUAUGGAAAGAAACCACCAUCUCUACCUCAAUACAUACAAGGGACUAGCACACUGGAGGCUAUUGAUAGCGAGUGCACUAACAGGGAUGAAAUGCUAGGUAUGCUCAAAAGAAAAUUGCUCAAGGCGCAAGAGGCCAUGAAACUGCAAGCUGACAAACGCCGCUUGGAGCACACUUUCAAAGUAGGAGAUAAGGUCUUCAUUAAGCUUCGACCAUAUCGCCAAACAUCCCUGCCUGCUCAAAGGAAUCAUAAAUUGUCAAAAAGGUACUAUGGACCUUUCAAAUUGCUGAAACAGAUUGGUGAGGUAGCAUUUGAAGUGGAACUCCCUACUACUAGCAAGAUACAUCCGGUCUUUCAUGUAUCCCAACUGAAGCCGUGCUAUGCUGAUUCUGAAGCUUCCUUGGAUUUACCCCCGGCUUCAAUUGAUAAUCAUCCGGUGAUCACACCUUUGAGCAUUCUGGACUGGAAGGAAGAUCCUUCAACUGGAGAAACACAGAUUUUAGUACAGUGGGCAGGCUCCUAUCCGGAAGAUGCAACAUGGGAAGAACUAGGAGACAUUCAGUUGACGUACCCAGAACUACACCUUGAGGACAAGGUGUUUCUCUAUGGAUCCAGGGAUGAAAUGAACACUGAGCCAGAAGAGGGAGAUGAUGAAUUAGCUGAAGAGGAACCUGUUGGACCUGUCAAGAGAAUUAGGCCCAAACGAAACAAGCAGAAACCCAAGAGGCUGAAUGGAUAUCAGCUGUACUAAAAUGAUAAGAUCAGACCUUCUAGAAUGAUGUUUAGAAUAUUCCUUUUGUAUCAAUGUUUGUUGCUGACUCACUCUAGUUUGUUAGAAUGCAUGAGUCACCAAUCAUUUAGCUACACUAGCGUGCCUUUAUAAGGUUGAAGUAUUGAAUAAAG
rnacentral:lncRNA from 1 species